rnacentral:sRNA from 1 species
UGGAUUGUGUAGCCUCAGGAUGGAGAU